rnacentral:misc_RNA from 1 species
AACUGAUACUACCUGCGGGAACCUGCGGAGGGAUCAUUCACAAUAAGUGUUUUAUGGCACUUUAAUUCCAUAUCCACCUUGUGUGCAACGUAGUUCGUUUUUCGAACAAAACAUCAACAUUUUAAUUAUCAACAGAUCGUCUGAAGUAUUAUAUGAAUAAAUCAAUUCAAAAUACAACUUUCAGCAAUGGAUCUCU